UGAAAUAAGAGGAGACUGGAGGCUGUGGAGACUGUGGAGACUGCGGACGGUGUGCCGGGAAUGGAGAGGCCGAGUACAUCCAUGGCAACCAGUAAGGUGUUCGUCAGUGGCCUAGAUGGUAUAACCUUAGGUGAGGAGGUCUGCUGUGUGGAAAUCGCCUUCUUGGUCUGACUCUUGCUGCCAAGGUACCCCUUAUUACGGCUGUUUGCCUUCCUCUCAGCUCCGAUGCACUUUGAGUGAACCCUUAACCUCAGCCUGAUAUAUGUUGAAAGGAUUUUUUUUUCAGCUCAUGACAUGAGGGAAGGUUGCUGUCCAGACUCAUGGCCUCUCUUUCCAGCUGUUCCACUACGUUUGAGGAUUCCAUAAGGGAAUCACUCGUCUUGGAACGGAAGAGCUGCUCCACGUGCUGCAGGAGAGUGAACAGCUCAUCGCAUGGCCGGUGGUAGAGGACACAAGACUCGGUCUUUGUGAGGUCAGGUGGUGAUGGGUCUACCAGCUGCUCCACUCUCACAACCUCAGAAGCACUACAGUUGCUGUUCUUGUUGUCCAAGAAGUCCGCCAAGUGGUCUGAUGCAUCAUCCAGAUCUUGCUGGACCAGCAGUAUCGUUGUUGUGGCCAUCACAGGUUUCAGUGGAGCCCCCCCCCCCAAAAAAAAAAAUGGUUACGAUACCUGUUCUUAACGCCUGUUUACACAUUUGUUGUUCUUGUUCACACAUACUGUACGUAUGUUUGUUGAUAUUAUUCAUGCUUGUUCCCAUUUU